GUGGGGAAUUUUGGACAAUGGGCGAAAGCCUGAUCCAGCCAUGCCGCGUGCAGGAUGAAGGCCUUCGGGUUGUAAACUGCUUUUGUACGGAACGAAAAGACUCUGGUUAAUACCUGGGGUCCAUGACGGUACCGUAAGAAUAAGCACCGGCUAACUACGUGCCAGCAGCCGCGGUAAUACGUAGGGUGCAAGCGUUAAUCGGAAUUACUGGGCGUAAAGCGUGCGCAGGCGGUUAUAUAAGACAGAUGUGAAAUCCCCGGGCUCAACCUGGGGACUGCAUUUGUGACUGUAUAGCUAGAGUACGGCAGAGGGGGGUGGAAGUCCGCGUGUAGCAGUGAAAUGCGUAGAUAUGCGGAGGAACACCGAUGGCGAAGGCAAUCCCCUGGGCCUGUACUGACGCUCAUGCACGAAAGCGUGGGGAGCAAACAGGAUUAGAUACCCCUGUAGUCC
rnacentral:rRNA from 1 species